rnacentral:rRNA from 1 species
UACGUAGGGUGCGAGCGUUGUCCGGAAUUAUUGGGCGUAAAGAGCUUGUAGGCGGUCUGUCGCGUCUGCUGUGAAAAUCCGGGGCUCAACCCCGGACUUGCAGUGGGUACGGGCAGACUAGAGUGCGGUAGGGGAGAUCGGAAUUCCUGGUGUAGCGGUGAAAUGCGCAGAUAUCAGGAGGAACACCGGUGGCGAAGGCGGAUCUCUGGGCCGUAACUGACGCUGAGGAGCGAAAGCAUGGGGAGCGAACAGG